GUCAUUGGGCUGUAUGGAACAGAUAGGUGACGUUUCAGAGUGCUGGAGUAACUCAGCGGGUCAGGCAGCAUCUGUGGAGAACAUGGAUAGGUGACAUUUCGGGUCAGGACCCUUCUUCAGACUGACAUUAUGUUGACAGAUGAGGGGGUGAUCGGCAGAUGAGUGAAGUAAGUGACAGAGGCGAGGGAAAAUAAGGAGAUAAAAGGAUGUGAGAUAAGGAGAGAGGAAUGUAUAUGUGCAGCUUUAAGGGACAUUGGUCAGGUAGCAUUUGGAGUAUUGCAUACAGUUCUGGUCACUCCAUUACAGGACUGAUGUGGAGGCUUUGGGGAAGGUGCAGAGAUGGUUAACCAGAA